AUUGAACGCUGGCGGCAGGCUUAACACAUGCAAGUCGAGCGGAGAUGAGGUGCUUGCACCUUAUCUUAGCGGCGGACGGGUGAGUAAUGCUUAGGAAUCUGCCUAUUAGUGGGGGACAACAUUCCGAAAGGAAUGCUAAUACCGCAUACGUCCUACGGGAGAAAGCAGGGGAUCUUCGGCCCUUGCGCUAAUAGAUGAGCCUAAGUCGGAUUAGCUAGUUGGUGGGGUAAAGGCCUACCAAGGCGACGAUCUGUAGCGGGUCUGAGAGGAUGAUCAGCCACAGUGGGACUGAGACACGGCCCAGAGUCCUACGGGAGGCAGCAGUGGGGAAUAUUGGACAAUGGGGGGAACCCUGAUCCAGCCAUGCCGCGUGUGUGAAGAAGGCCUUAUGGUUGUAAAGCACUUUAAGCGAGGAGGAGGCUACUGAGACUAAUACUCUUGGAUAGUGGACGUUACUCGCAGAAUAAGCACCGGCUAACUCUGUGCCAGCCGCCGCAGUAA
rnacentral:rRNA from 1 species